GCAGAUACACAUUAUCUCUCACAAUAGUACCUGGGGGUGGGUAUUACAUCACACCCUACUCCCCCAUUAUAGAAACAUCAACCCAGCAGCGUCGGAGCAAAGGAGCUUCCCCAAGACUCCAGGAGGCUAGGAACGGCACCCCCUCCUACUCUGAGUUCAUCGCCAACUUUUGUGGUUUUUUUAAUCGGCCGGAUGUGUCUCCUAAGAGGGUGUGCGCUCUCCCUCCCCCAAAAACCCCGGCAGUGCCCACAGACCUCAGGACCCGCCCUGGGUGCCGACCCGGUGGGACCCAGCGCACGCGGCUUAAACAACUGUGCUGCAAAGGACCCUUCUUGGGACAAGGCCUCUACCCCUCCCCCAAGGAUGAAGACUCUUUCUUUUGCCCUGGAUCGGUAAAGAAGAUUCCAAACCCAGAGAAGG